AUAUCUCUCCGUACAGGAAGGAUGAGAAGCUUCGACUAAGGUUCGAUUCGAGCGCAGCGAGAAAGCGUUGCCGCAGGCAACGACCCGAAGGGCGAAGCGCGCAGCGCUGAGUAAUCCUUCCCCCACCACCA
rnacentral:sRNA from 1 species